GCCUGGGUGGCUCAGUUGGUUGAGCGACUGACUUCGGCUCAGGUCAUGAUCUCGUAGCUCAUGGGUUUGAGCCCCGCAUCGGGCU
rnacentral:tRNA from 1 species